rnacentral:lncRNA from 1 species
GCAGGAAGGGAUGCUGGGAGAUUUUUUUUUUCCCAAUCCCUGCCACAGCCUAGUCCUAAUCCAUCACUGUUUAAUUAUCCUAGAAGAGCUGGCAAGGCAGGUAAGAAACUGAGGACAAAACAAAGAAACCACUCGAGCCAAGUCUUGCUUGAUGACUGAAUGAGUUCACUGGGGUCACUCACAGAAGACUCCAAGGUGUUUAUUAUUUGUUGGGGAAGAGGAACACACAAGUACCACAGCACAUAUGAAGACCUGGGGACAGCCUUUAAGAGUUCGCUCUUUCCUGCCAUGGGGGGUCCAAGACUGAGAUCAAGGUAGCCAGGCUUUGCAUCAAGCACCUUUAUCUGCUGGGCCACCUUGCUGGCCCAACCACCCAGAUUUCUAAAAAUGCUCACUAGAGUUAGUACACAUAAUGACAGUUGCUAUAUUUGUAUACCUACUAUGGGCUAAAUAGUGUGAUGAGUGGAGCAAAUACAACUACUACUCUUCUGGAAUUCUAUACAUAGGAGAAGCUAUAUAUAGUCACCAGAUGUAAUCAAUACUGUGCUAUCAAAAUGAACUACAGACAGCAAGGAACACAUCAGAGACCUGCUCUUGUGAAGAUGAACAUGUGGGGAGGGGUGGCACAUAGCAAUCCAACCGCAAAGCUCUCAGUACAGUGUAAUUCACGCCUUGGCUUG